rnacentral:rRNA from 1 species
GAUGAACGCUGGCGGCGUGCUUAACACAUGCAAGUCGAACGGAAAGGCCCUGCUUUUGUGGGUUGCUCGAGUGGCGAACGGGUGAGUAACACGUGAGUAACCUGUCCUUGUCUUUGGGAUAACUUCAGGAAAAUGGGGCUCAUAUCGCAUAGGAGAUACUGCUGCAUGGUGGGGGUUGGAAAGUUUCGGCGGUUCGGGCUGGAUUGGCGGCUUAUCAGCUUGUUGGUGGGGUUGGGGAUUACCAAGGCUUUGAAGGGUAGCCGGCCUUAGAGGGGGACCGGCCACAUUAGGACUACGAUAGGGCCCAGAAGCCUACGGGAGGCAGCAGGCGGGAACAUUGCAGAAUGGGCGGAAGCGAGAUGCGGCAACGCCGCGUGCGUGAUGAUGGGCUACUGGGUGUAAACCGAUUUCUCCGGAAACGAAGCGUGAGUGACGGUAACGGGUAAAAAAGCACCGGCUAACUACGUG